rnacentral:rRNA from 1 species
AGCUCCAAUAGCGUAUAUUAAAGUUGUUGCAGUUAAAAAGCUCGUAGUUGGAUUUCAGUACGGGCCAGUUGGUCGGCCGCAAGGCCUGUUACUGGCUGGUCUGUUCUUCUUGUCAAAGACUGCGUGUGCUCUUCGUUGAGUGUGCGUAGGAUUUGGGACGUUUACUUUGAAAAAAUUAGAGUGUUCAAAGCAGGCUAACGCAGCCCGAAUACAUGAGCAUGGAAUAAUGGAAUAGGACUACGGUUCUAUUUUGUUGGUUUCUACAACCGUAGUAAUGAUUAAGAGGGACAAUUGGGGGCAUCCGUAUUUCGUUGUCAGAGGUGAAAUUCUUGGAUUUACGAAAGACGAACAACUGCGAAAGCAUUUGCCAAGAGUGUUUUCAUUAAUCAAGAACGAAAGU